rnacentral:siRNA from 1 species
UAAACAAGCGCUUCGUGGAAGGCA